rnacentral:rRNA from 1 species
UUUUUUAUAAAUUAUUAGUAUUAUAAGAUUAUCAAUAAAUAUAAAAUAAAUAAGUAAAAUUAUUGAAAUUUUAGUUUAAAGAGUACUGUGAAGGAAAAGUAAUUUAUAAAAGUAUAACUUAAUUUUAGUACCUUUUGUAUUAUGGUUUAACGAGAUUAAUUAAUGUAAAAUUAAUUUCUAGAAAUAAAAAGAGCUAUAUUUAAACUAAUAUAAUGUUGCAAAAUUUUUUUGAUUUAACUAUAGGGGUGAAAUGCUUUUCGAUUUUUAUGAUAGCUAGUUGAAAGAUAAAGAUAUAUAAGUAUUGAAUAAAAUAAAACAAAUGUUUGAGUUUUUUUUUAUUUUUUUUUUAUAAAGGCUAAGCUUUAUAAAUGAGAGUAUAAUAAUUAAAAUAAAAAUAUGUAGGCUUAAAGGUAGUUAUCAUUAUUAUUGUUUUUUGACAGAAUUUAAUUUAAUUUUAUGUUUUAUCUCUUUUUUAUCUUUUCUUUAUAUAAAUUUAUAUUAAUAUGGUUGUUUAUGUUAAAAUGAGUAUUGAUUUUCUUAUUUCUUGUAUUAUUUGAAGAGUGAGAUGAAAAAUUGAAUUUAAUAUAAAUAUAUGGAAGGAAUUCGGCAAAAAUUUGUUUCGCCUGUUUACCAAAAACAUCGCUCUCUGUAAAUUAAAAAUAGGGAGUCGUGCCUGCCCAGUGAAAAUUAAACGGCCGCAGUACCCUGACUGUGCUAAGGUAGCAUAAUCAUUUGCCUUUUAAUUGGAGGCUAGAAUGAAUGGCUUGACGAGAACAAAGCUGUCUCCUUUGUAUUAUUUAGAAGUUAAUUUUUAGGUGAAGAAGCCUAAAUUAUUUUAAAAGACGAAAAGACCCUAUCGAACUUUAAAUUAUACUGAUGUUUAGUUUUUAGUAAAAUUAGUUUUUAGUUUUGUUUUUAAUUGGGGCGAUGAAAGAACAUAAAAAGCUUCUUUUUUUUUAUAUAAUUUUUAAAUUAAAAUGAUCCAAAGUUGUUGAAAAAAGAAAAGUUACCGUAGGGAUAACAGCGUAAUUUUUCUGGAGAGUUCAAAUUGAAGGAAGAGUUUGCGAC